rnacentral:rRNA from 1 species
GAUGAACGCUGGCGGCGCGCCUAACACAUGCAAGUCGAACGGCACCUGCCUUCGGGCAGAAGCGAGUGGCGAACGGCUGAGUAACACGUGGAGAACCUGCCCCCUCCCCCGGGAUAGCCGCCCGAAAGGACGGGUAAUACCGGAUACCCCGGGGUGCCGCAUGGCACCCCGGCUAAAGCCCCGACGGGAGGGGAUGGCUCCGCGGCCCAUCAGGUAGACGGCGGGGUGACGGCCCACCGUGCCGACAACGGGUAGCCGGGUUGAGAGACCGACCGGCCAGAUUGGGACUGAGACACGGCCCAGACUCCUACGGGAGGCAGCAGUGGGGAAUCUUGCGCAAUGGGGGGAACCCUGACGCAGCGACGCCGCGUGCGGGACGGAGGCCUUCGGGUCGUAAACCGCUUUCAGCAGGGAAGAGUCAAGACUGUACCUGCAGAAGAAGCCCCGG